rnacentral:rRNA from 1 species
UACGUAGGGUGCAAGCGUUAAUCGGAAUUACUGGGCGUAAAGCGUGCGCAGGCGGUUUUGUAAGUCUAGUCGUGAAAUCCCCGGGCUCAACCUGGGAAUUGCAUUUGUGACUGUAGAGCUGGAGUACGGUAGAGGGGGAUGGAAUUCCGCGUGUAGCAGUGAAAUGCGUAGAUAUGCGGAGGAACACCGAUGGCGAAGGCAAUCCCCUGGACCUGUAUUGACGCUCAUGCACGAAAGCGUGGGGAGCAAACAGG